rnacentral:lncRNA from 1 species
UCUAAACCUGCAACUUCACAUCAACUUUUACCAUUUUCAAGAGCUUCCAAGCCAGGAAUGUUAGAGCUGGAAGGAACAUGAUAAAAAGAAGGAAAGUGAAAGUGAACAGUUUACACAGCCAGCAGCACAGUAACCGGCAAGGGGCAAACAAACCCAUAGAUGCUUCCUGAAUGAAACAAAUGAGAUACAGGGAAAAGAUUAAAACCAAGAACCUCUGACUUCCAGACCACUUGACUCUGCUGCCUGACCCUCUUCUUAAAUCCAUGCUGCCUGAGUAAACGUCCAGGCUCCACAUAUUUAGACCACAUCGGGAAACUAGACUUCAUACUGAGACUUACGUUCCCACAUAUAUGGAUUGUGGGCAAUCAGAAGCUCAAAGUGGAAGCUCUGAAGAUGGGAUCCUUUCUGGUGUGUUGAAAAAUCCCUGGGCUUGUGGGUCAGCAGGAUGGGUGUGGUGUCUCUCAGCUAUGGGAAUCAAGCUGCUGUGAUACGAGCUGCUGUAAAAACGGAGGCCUCCAGACCAACAGCCAGGGAGUAGAGGAGAGACUCACAUUAGUGGCCACUGGACCAGUGGGAGGAAGAGCUUAUGGGAAGAGACUUCUUUGGCUCAUCUCAUGUUACAUCUUGGAGUGACCUCAAAGGCCCCAUCCCAGAAGGCACAGCCACAAAAAACGUGGCCUCCACCAGCAUGGAUCCCUGAAUGUAAUGGGAUCAGAGCCUCCUGCCCACACCUGGAGGUCAGAAUAAUACUGGAAGUCCUCCAUCUAUUUCUCAUCAUCUCACUCUUGAGUGUGCACUGCCAACAAUGUCCCUGAAUGAAGAGCCACUGAUUACAUCUAAGUUUUGGCUGUUGAAAGGAAGUUCUACGUAUAAGGAAGUGCAUUGGACUGACAGUCAGGUCAGCAUCUGGAUUGUGCUGUGAGCUCUCGUAUGUAUCACCUCAUGUGAUCUUCGUGAUCACUUUGCAAAAUGUGGAUUUUGCAAAAUGAGGCCACAAAUAGUCGCCUUUCUCCAAUUUUCUCAUUUCUUUGACUUUACUUUGUGACUUUUUGGAUUGUUGUUUACGGUAUGCUACCUAAAGUUUUUCUCACUUCAGAGAAGAGGAAGCUAGCUAAUGCUGUCAGUGUCACAGGACACGUCAUGCUUACAAUGAUAAGGUUAAUAUGUGGCACACCUCUGACUUGAACAAGGCCUGUUUGUUUACAAAGUCAAUGGUUACACUCUUACCCUAGAGUUCUAGUCUCCAUUCUGCUGCCAAUUACCCGAUGACCUAUGUGACUUUAGACAUGUGAAAUAAC